rnacentral:rRNA from 1 species
GACGAACGCUGGCGGCGUGCCUAAUACAUGCAAGUCGAACGAACUCUGGUAUUGAUUGGUGCUUGCAUCAUGAUUUACAUUUGAGUGAGUGGCGAACUGGUGAGUAACACGUGGGAAACCUGCCCAGAAGCGGGGGAUAACACCUGGAAACAGAUGCUAAUACCGCAUAACAACUUGGACCGCAUGGUCCGAGCUUGAAAGAUGGCUUCGGCUAUCACUUUUGGAUGGUCCCGCGGCGUAUUAGCUAGAUGGUGGGGUAACGGCUCACCAUGGCAAUGAUACGUAGCCGACCUGAGAGGGUAAUCGGCCACAUUGGGACUGAGACACGGCCCAAACUCCUACGGGAGGCAGCAGUAGGGAAUCUUCCACAAUGGACGAAAGUCUGAUGGAGCAACGCCGCGUGAGUGAAGAAGGGUUUCGGCUCGUAAAACUCUGUUGUUAAAGAAGAACAUAUCUGAGAGUAACUGUUCAGGUAUUGACGGUAUUUAACCAGAAAGCCACGGCUAACUACGUGCCAGCAGCCGCGGUAAUACGUAGGUGGCAAGCGUUGUCCGGAUUUAUUGGGCGUAAAGCGAGCGCAGGCGGUUUUUUAAGUCUGAUGUGAAAGCCUUCGGCUCAACCGAAGAAGUGCAUCGGAAACUGGGAAACUUGAGUGCAGAAGAGGACAGUGGAACUCCAUGUGUAGCGGUGAAAUGCGUAGAUAUAUGGAAGAACACCAGUGGCGAAGGCGGCUGUCUGGUCUGUAACUGACGCUGAGGCUCGAAAGUAUGGGUAGCAAACAGGAUUAGAUACCCUGGUAGUCCAUACCGUAAACGAUGAAUGCUAAGUGUUGGAGGGUUUCCGCCCUUCAGUGCUGCAGCUAACGCAUUAAGCAUUCCGCCUGGGGAGUACGGCCGCAAGGCUGAAACUCAAAGGAAUUGACGGGGGCCCGCACAAGCGGUGGAGCAUGUGGUUUAAUUCGAAGCUACGCGAAGAACCUUACCAGGUCUUGACAUACUAUGCAAAUCUAAGAGAUUAGACGUUCCCUUCGGGGACAUGGAUACAGGUGGUGCAUGGUUGUCGUCAGCUCGUGUCGUGAGAUGUUGGGUUAAGUCCCGCAACGAGCGCAACCCUUAUUAUCAGUUGCCAGCAUUAAGUUGGGCACUCUGGUGAGACUGCCGGUGACAAACCGGAGGAAGGUGGGGAUGACGUCAAAUCAUCAUGCCCCUUAUGACCUGGGCUACACACGUGCUACAAUGGAUGGUACAACGAGUUGCGAACUCGCGAGAGUAAGCUAAUCUCUUAAAGCCAUUCUCAGUUCGGAUUGUAGGCUGCAACUCGCCUACAUGAAGUCGGAAUCGCUAGUAAUCGCGAAUCAGCAUGCCGCGGUGAAUACGUUCCCGGGCCUUGUACACACCGCCCGUCACACCAUGAGAGUUUGUAACACCCAAAGUCGGUGGGGUAACCUUUUAGGAACCAGCCGCCUAAGGUGGGACAGAUGAUUAGGGUG